CGCCUGUUUAUCAAAAACAUGUCUUUUUGUUAAUUAUUUAAGGUUUGGCCUGCUCCAUGAUAAAUUAAAUAGCCGCAGUAUUUUGACUGUGCAAAGGUAGCAUAAUCAUUAGUUUUUUAAUUGAAAGCUGGAAUGAAUGGUCGGAUGAGGGAGUAACUGUCUCAUUUUAAUUUUUUUUGAAUUUUAUUUUUGAGUCAAAAAGCUCAGAUUGUGUAAAAAGACGAGAAGACCCUAUAGAGUUUAAUAGGUUUACAAUUUAAUUAUUUGAAGGUUUAAUUUUAAUUGCUUUGUAGCUUAUUUGGUUGGGGUGACAUUAGAAUUGAUAAAACUUCUUUAAAUUUAAACACUGAUUAGUGGUUGGAUGAUCCUGAAAUUUGGAUUAUAAGAAUAAAUUACCUUAGGGAUAACAGCGUAAUCUUUUUGGAGAGUUCUAAUCGAUAAAGAGGAUUGCGACCUCGAUGUUGGAUUAAAGUUAAUUUCUGGUGCAGAAGCUAGGAUUUUG
rnacentral:rRNA from 1 species